rnacentral:rRNA from 1 species
GAUGAACGCUGGCGGCGUGCUUAACACAUGCAAGUCGAACGGAGUUAUGUUUUUGAGAUCUUCGGAUGGAUGAGAUAUAACUUAGUGGCGGACGGGUGAGUAACGCGUGGGGAACCUGCCCCAUACCGGGGGACAACAGUUGGAAACGACUGCUAAUACCGCAUAAGCGCACGGAAGGACAUCCUUCAGUGUGAAAAACUCCGGUGGUAUGGGAUGGCCCCGCGUCUGAUUAGGCAGUUGGCGGGGUAACGGCCCACCAAACCGACGAUCAGUAGCCGACCUGAGAGGGUGAACGGCCACAUUGGGACUGAGACACGGCCCAAACUCC